CUCCCAAGUGCCCUUUGCGCGCCUAGUGCAUAGGUAACCCAAAACUACUUUAUGUCAAUCAACCGGAAAUAAAAAACAAACAAACGUCAUAAAGUUCCAAAACAUCCCCCUCCCGAAUACGAAGUGUUCGCUUUAAUUAAGUCCAGUUCGUUUACUCUAGAUUAAUGUCUCAGGUUCUUCAAUCAUCACUUUCAAGUGGGCACAAUCGAUGUACUGGACGUUCGUAAAUACUUUCGCCAACUUUAACUUUAACUACGCGAAUUAACCCGUCUUUCCCCGGGUGAACUUCAGUGAUGCG